rnacentral:rRNA from 1 species
AGAGUUUGAUUCUGGCGUCAGGAUGAACGCUGGCGGCGUGCUUAACACAUGCAAGUCGAACGGAGUAUUAACGGAGUUUCGGAUGGAAGUUUAAGAACUUAGUGGCGGACGGGUGAGUAACGCGUGGGUAACCUGCCUCAUACAGGGGGAUAACAGUUAGAAAUGACUGCUAACACCGCAUAAUAUAGCGAAACCGCAUGAUUUUGCUAUCAAAUAUUUAUAGGUAUGAGAUGGGCCCGCGUCUGAUUAGCUAGUUGGUGGGGUAAAAGCCUACCAAGGCGACGAUCAGUAGCCGGCUUGAGAGAGUGACCGGCCACAUUGGGACUGAGACACGGCCCAAACUCCUACGGGAGGCAGCAGUGGGGAAUAUUGGACAAUGGGGGAAACCCUGAUCCAGCGACGCCCGCGUGAGUGAAGAAGUAUUUCGGUAUGUAAAGCUCUAUCAGCAGGGAAGAUAAUGACAGUACCUGACUAAGAAGCCCCGGCUAACUACGUGCCAGCAGCAGC